CACUCCCUCUCUGUCUCUCUCUCUCGAAUAUACGCAACACACACCCACUCACCCACUAACUUCUACAGACACAGAGAGACGAAUCGAAGAAAGAGAUGUUCUACUCUCAUACGUUUUUGGCCAGGAAGGGCCCCUUGGGGACUGUUUGGUGCGCUGCCCAUUUGCAGCACAAACUCCGAAAAUCUCACUACGUCAAGACGAACGUCUCCACCACCGUCGAGAAAAUCAUGAAUCCUGAAGUGCCGAUUGCACUGAGAAUGUCAGGUCAUCUACUGCUUGGAGUUGUGCGGAUAUAUUCGAAACAAGUUGACUACUUUUUUGAAGACUGCAAUGAGAUAAGGAUCACGAUUAACAGGGUGUUUACAACCGUGUCUGUCAAUCUUCCAAGUGAUGCCACUCAAGCGCCCCUUCAUUCUGUUACUUUACCAGAAAAAUUUAAUCUUGACAACAUAGAAUUAGAUGAUUAUUGUUUAGACUGGCGUGAGGAUUCUCAUCUUAAGAGCCGUGAUGAGAUAACACUAACAGAGCAAAUUCCUACUGGAAAAGAUCCUUACAUUGUCAUCAGUGUUGAUGAGCAUGAUCUGAGGACCUCGUCGUCGAUGGAAGAAACUUCAGGAUCAGGUCCCACGCCAAUGGAGGAAGAUGAUGUUCCUCAUGGCGAGUUUGAUGCAUCUGCUGCUGGUUUUGGGACUCCAUCUCAUAGUAAUAAGUUAGGAGCAUUUGGAAGUAGAACCCCACAAGAUAUACCAAGUUUUCCUCAUGGCGAGUUUGAUGCAUCUGCUGCUGGUUUUGAGACUCCGUCUCGUAGUAAUAAUGUAGGAGCAUUUGGAAGUAGAACCCCACAAGAUACACAAAGUAUAGAAAUCAUGCGUGAUGCUCAAUAUGGUUUUGAUUUCAAUAAUUCACCAAUACUGCCUGAACGUGCUCUUCCUGACAAAUUUCUGGAGGAUCAAAUCAUCCGAGAUAAUAAGGAGAUGCAAACUCCAGUUAGAGAAGAAGUGGUGUUACCUGAUGCACGCUUUUCUUCAUCCCAUAACCAUGGAGAACAACACUCGCCUGUGCACUUGGAUUCUCAAAUACCUUUUGCCCACCAUUCACCGGAAUUGGAACUCCAACCAACUCCUGAGAUGGAAAUUCAACCAACUCCUCCUGUGGCAAAGGAAAAAGUUAGAAGGAAAAGAAAGCAGCCUUAUGAUACGACAACUGUUCUGAGCAACGAGUACGUUAAGAAUGCACUAGAAGAUACCAGUGAUAUCCUCCGGGAAAGAAGGAAUUGUCCCUUAACUUCUCUUUCAAUCUGGAAACGAAACAACAGGAGACGGUUAAGGAAGGAAGGUUUAUUUGUUGAACCCUAUGUAACCGGGUCUUCGGCUGAGCUGCAGGGUAUAUACAGUGAAGACUGUGCUAAAAAUCAUCUAGUUACCAUCCAGGAAACAUCUCAAGAGGCAAAUGUUGAAAAACCCUCUUCAUCUAGGCAUGACAACGAUAUUGAGAUUGAAGUCCUUCGCAAUAAUGAUCGUGCUUCACCAGAGAUAUUUAUGCCAUCCUUUUCUACUCCAGUACCUUCUCCAAGUGGAAGAAGCCAUUUCACUCCUGAUAAAUCCAAUGCUGAUUUGCUAUCCGAACACCUGGAAAUGACUGAUCGAACAUUACCAACAUCUGAUGUGGGAGCAUCUGGGAAUCUUGAUUCGGGAAUGAGAACCCCAGAUGCAUUCUGUGACAGUGAUAUGCGAUUUGACAACACAGUCCUUUCUGAUAUACCUGAGCUUGUGCCUUCCGGCGGAGAUCUUGGGUUUCUAGAGCAGGAUGACGAUUCUCCAGCUGGAUCGCAAGGAACACCACAAGUAGGUGUUUUCCCAGGGAAUCAAAGUACCCCAGAGCUUAGUGCAUUGUCUUCACGAACAAGGGCUGUAGCUCAGUACUUGAAAAAACAGUCAGCAACCCCUAUCUCAAGCAGUUUAGAAGAAUCGUCUGAAAAUCUCACUUUGGAAAAGAUUCUGAAUGACAAACCAAGAAAAAUAUGUGCGCGGAUGUUCUAUGAGACGUUGGUUUUGAAGAAUUGUGGGCUUGUAGAUGUUCGUCAAGAGAAACCUUACGAUGAUAUCGUUCUAAAGGUGACACCGAAGCUGUCGAAGGAGCAGUUCUCAGUCUAAUGAUGCACAUCUGUUUUGCAUGUAAAUUUAGGUAAGGGUUGAUUUUUUUAAAGGUGGAUCCAUGAAGGAUUAGUAGACUAAGGGGAAUCAUUGACCUUAAAUUAUUAUUCCUCGUAGAAUAACAUUGUGGAGGACUUUUCUCUUGUGAGAUUUUUGGGUUAGAAUUGUUCUUUAUUUUUUUACUUUUCCUUAUAAAUUAUCUUUAAUUCCUAGUUCCUACCAUAGCCUUAGGUAGAAUUGGAGUUGCAUAUUUCAAGUACAAUAUGUAUAUUAAUAAUCUUUAUUUUAUUUUGACAAGUAAGCUCAAGUGCCUGAUUCUCUAGGAAAAUCAAUUGUUUAUAAUAUUUCCUUUGGUAUAAAUAAAAAGAGAAGGAUUUCGUCAA